AGUGAACGCUGGCGGUAGGCCUAACACAUGCAAGUCGAACGGCAGCACAGUAAGAGCUUGCUCUUACGGGUGGCGAGUGGCGGACGGGUGAGGAAUACAUCGGAAUCUACUUUUUCUUGGGGGAUAACGUAGGGAAACUUACGCUAAUACCGCAUACGACCUACGGGUGAAAGCAGGGGAUCUUCGGACCUUGCGCGAUUGAAUGAGCCGAUGUCGGAUUAGCUAGUUGGCGGGGUAAAGGCCCACCAAGGCGACGAUCCGUAGCUGGUCUGAGAGGAUGAUCAGCCAAACUGGAACUGAGACACGGUCCAGACUACUACGGGAGGCAGCAGUGGGGAAUAUUGGACAAUGGGCGCAAGCCUGAUCCAGCCAUACCGCGUGGGUGAAGAAGGCCUUCGGGUUGUAAAGCCCUUUUGUUGGGAAAGAAAAGCAGCAGGUUAAUACCCCGCUGUUCUGACGGUACCCAAAGAAUAAGCACCGGCUAACUUCGUG
rnacentral:rRNA from 1 species